UACGUAGGGGGCUAGCGUUGUCCGGAUUUAUUGGGCGUAAAGAGCUCGUAGGCGGCCUGUCGCGUCGACCGUGAAAACCCGCAGCUCAACUGCGGGCUUGCGGUCGAUACGGGCAGGCUCGAGUUCGGUAGGGGAAACUGGAAUUCCUGGUGUAGCGGUGAAAUGCGCAGAUAUCAGGAGGAACACCGGUGGCGAAGGCGGGUCUCUGGGCCGAUACUGACGCUGAGGAGCGAAAGCGUGGGGAGCGAACAGG
rnacentral:rRNA from 1 species